UACGAAGGGGGCUAGCGUUGCUCGGAAUCACUGGGCGUAAAGGGCGCGUAGGCGGCGUGGUAAGUCACUUGUGAAAUCUCUGAGCUUAACUCAGAACGGCCAAGUGAUACUGCUGUGCUAGAGUGCAGAAGGGGCAAUCGGAAUUCUUGGUGUAGCGGUGAAAUGCGUAGAUAUCAAGAGGAACACCUGAGGUGAAGACGGGUUGCUGGGCUGACACUGACGCUGAUGCGCGAAAGCUAGGGGAGCAAACGGG
rnacentral:rRNA from 1 species